rnacentral:rRNA from 1 species
UACAGAGGUCUCAAGCGUUGUUCGGAUUCAUUGGGCGUAAAAGGUGCGUAGGUGGCGCGCUAAGUCAGGUGUGAAAUUUCGGAGCUUAACUCCGAAACUGCAUUUGAUACUGGCGUGCUUGAGGACUGGAGAGGAGACUGGAAUUCACGGUGUAGCAGUGAAAUGCGUAGAGAUCGUGAGGAAGACCAGUGGCGAAGGCGGGUCUCUGGACAGUUCCUGACACUGAGGCACGAAGGCCAGGGGAGCAAACGGG